rnacentral:rRNA from 1 species
CCUACGGGAGGCUGCAGUAGGGAAUAUUGGUCAAUGGGCGGGAGCCUGAACCAGCCAUGCCGCGUGCGGGAGGAAGGCCCUACGGGUCGUAAACCGCUUUUAUACGGGAACAACCACAUGUACGAGUACAUGUCUGAGUGUACCGUAGGAAUAAGGAUCGGCUAACUCCGUGCCAGCAGCCGCGGUAAUACGGAGGAUCCGAGCGUUAUCCGGAAUUAUUGGGUUUAAAGGGUGCGUAGGCGGCAGUUUAAGUCAGGGGUGAAAUACAGCGGCUCAACCGUUGCAGUGCCUUUGAUACUGAACUGCUUGAAUGUGGCCGAAGGAGGCGGAACGGGACAAGUAGCGGUGAAAUGCAUAGAUAUGUCCCAGAACCCCGAUUGCGAAGGCAGCUUCCUAGACCAAUAUUGACGCUGAUGCACGAAAGCGUGGGGAUCGAACAGGAUUAGAUACCCUUGUAGUC